rnacentral:rRNA from 1 species
CCUACGGGAGACAGCAGUGGGGAAUAUUGCACAAUGGCGGAAACCCUGAUGCAGCGACGCCGCGUGAGUGAAGAAGUAUUUCGGUAUGUAAAGCUCUAUCAGCAGGGAAGCAAUAUCGACCUUUUGGUCGCCAGACGGUACCUGAUUAAGAAGCCCCGUCUCACUCCGUGCCAGCAGCCGCGUUAAUACGUAGGGGGCAAGCGUUAUCCGGAUUUACGGGGUGUAAAGGGAGCGUAGAGGGCAGCUCAAGUGUGAAGGGAAAUGCCGGGGCUGAAACCCGGAACUGCUUUGGAAACUGGGCAGCUAGAGGGCAGGAGAGGUAAGUGGAAUUCCGAGGGGAGCGGUGAAAAGCG